rnacentral:rRNA from 1 species
UACGGAGGGUGCGAGCGUUGUCCGGAAUCAUUGGGCGUAAAGGGCGCGUAGGUGGCCCGGUCAGUUCGUGGUGAAAGCGCGGGGCUCAACCCUGCGUCGGCCAUGAAUACUGCCGCGGCUGGAGCACUGUAGAGGCAGGCGGAAUUCCGGGUGGUAGCGGUGGAAUGCGUAGAGAUCCGGAAGAACACCGGUGGCGAAGGCG